UACGUAGGCAGCGAGCGUUGUUCGGAGUUACUGGGCGUAAAGGGCGCGUAGGCGGCCUUCUAAGUCGAACGUGAAAUCCCCGGGCUCAACCCGGGAACUGCGUCCGAUACUGGAAGGCUUGAAUCCGGGAGAGGGAUGCGGAAUUCCAGGUGUAGCGGUGAAAUGCGUAGAUAUCUGGAGGAACACCGGUGGCGAAGGCGCAUCCUGGACCGGCAUUGACGCUGAGGCGCGAAAGCCAGGGGAGCAAACGGG
rnacentral:rRNA from 1 species